AUUAAAGUAACAAAGGGCACACAAGGGAUGCCUAGGUAGAAAGAGCCGAAGAAGGACGUGGUAAGCUGCGAUAAGCUUGGCGAAGUUGCAAACGAACGUGGAUGCCAAGAUUUCCGAAUGGAGCAAUCUGUAAAGAGUCAUGUCUUUACACGAAAGAGGGAACCGGGUGAACUGAAACAUCUAAGUAAUCCGAGGAAAAGAAAGUAACAACGAUACCCUAAGUAGCGGCGAGCGAACGGGGUAGAGCCUAAACCGUAUUCAUGUCAAGGAUGCAGCCGUUGUGGAUACGGGGUAGCGGGAAAGAGAGAGAAAGAACUGCAAGCUAUUUCGCAGACGUAAGCAAAGGAACAAGAAAGAUCUGGAAAGGUCUACCGUAGAAGGUGAAAGUCCUGUAUUGGUAGUUUUCUUGCGCUGUAUCUCUUCUCCCAAGUAAUGUGGAACACGAGGAAUUCUGCAUGAAUCUGCGAGGACCAAAUCUCGUAAGGCUAAAUACUCUUUCUAACCGAUAGCGCAUAGUACCGUGAGGGAAAGGUGAAAAGAACCCCGGGAGGGGAGUGAAAGAGAACCUGAAAUUGUGUGCUUACAAGCGGUCAGAGCCACUUCGGUGGUGAUGGCGUGCCUUUUGGAGAAUGAUCCUGCGAGUUACGUUUCAUGGCGAGGUUAAGAAGAACGGAGCCGAAGGGAAACCGAGUCUGAAUAGGGCGCAAGAGUCGUGGAGCGUAGACGCGAAACCCGGUGAUCUAAGCCUGUCCAGGAUGAAGCUGUGGUAAGACACAGUGGAGGUCCUAACCCACCGCCGUUGAAAAGUUGGGGGAUGAGGUAGGUUUAGGGGUGAAAAGCCAAUCGAACCGGGAGAUAGCUCGUUCUCUCCGAAAUGCAUCUAGGUGCAGCCUUGCGUGUUUAAUGAUGGGGGUAGAGCACUGACUGAACUAGGGGGCAUAUAGCUUACUGAAUUCAAUCAAACUCCGAAUACCAUUAUUCAAGAGCGCAGGAGUGAGACCAUGGGAGUUAACUUCCAUCGUCGAAAGGGAAACAACCCAGACCACC
rnacentral:rRNA from 1 species